GGAAGGGGAAAGGGGUUCUUCAAACCGUUCUGAUUGACUGCUAAUUAAUCGAAUAGCUGUGGUGAUCGAAGGCGAACACGGCGGUCCUGAUACCCUUUCGAGGUUCUUCAAAGCUUUACUGCAGUGUCCCAAAACAGAGAGAGGAUCGCAGCCGAACGAUGCACUCAAAAUAGAGGGAGGAUCAAAAUCAAUUGCUGUGAGAGGUGGAUGGUGCACUCAUAUCUUCGGCGGCGAGACUAGUUCGACGUAGGUGCUUAGGUGGAGUUGAGCCUAAGCUACGGACGUGGCUGUGGACGGAUGGGCAGGGGUCCAAGGGGUGGUGGCAAUCAGGAAUAAUGAUUAGGGGUUGGUGUGCUUUGCUCUAGCUGAAUGUUUGCCAUGGCUUUGCUCCAUCAGAUCUGGUCUCAAGCUAAAUACAUACUGGGCCACUACCUACCACUUCCAUUAGUGCCAUUACCAAAUUUGAAAUCCGAAGCUCUAAGCGCGUUAUGUAUGACUACUCCAAAUGGACAAUUUAUGACACAAAAGAAACUCUGCUUGUCUAUGAGUGAUUAUAAGUGCCGUUAAAUAUCAUUGGUCUAGGAAUCAUCUGUUCUUUCUAAUAAACUGAUUUUAUUUUCAUCUCCUUUCUAUCAUUUUUCAGUUCAUCCAGAAAGUUGGAAUCCGAUGUGCUCUGUAUCAAGAUUGGGUUUUGAUGACGUUUGGAAGCAUACUUGCAAAUGAAGUUCAACUGUUGAAUUUUGUUUCCUGAAUUGAUACUUAGUUGUAGUUGCAAAUUAAGAUUGAGAGUUGAUUUUUUUUGUGGAUUCCACGUUAGUUCAUUUUGGGAUUUGCUUUGAUGGUUUUUUUGUUUUACUUAAUGGUUUAUAUUAUUAAAAUUG